GACGAACGCUGGCGGCGUGCCUAACACAUGCAAGUCGAACGGAGUGAGAUCCUUCGGGGUUUCGCUUAGUGGCGAACGGGUGAGUAACGCGUGAGAAACCUGCCUUUCAGUGGGGGACAACAGUUGGAAACGACUGCUAAUACCGCAUAACGUAUAUUAGGGGCAUCCCUGAUAUACCAAAGCUUUANGUGCUGAAAGAUGGGUCUCGCGUCUGAUUAGCUAGAUGGCGGGUAACGGCCCACCAUGGCGACGAUCAGUAGCCGGUCUGAGAGGAUGAACGGCCACAUUGGGACUGAGAUACGGCCCAGACUCCUACGGGAGGCAGCA
rnacentral:rRNA from 1 species